UGGGGAAUUUUGGACAAUGGGGGCAACCCUGAUCCAGCAAUGCCGCGUGUGUGAAGAAGGCCUUCGGGUUGUAAAGCACUUUUGUCCGGAAAGAAAACACGUGCCCUAAUACGGUGUGUGGAUGACGGUACCGGAAGAAUAAGCACCGGCUAACUACGUGCCAGCAGCCGCGGUAAUACGUAGGGUGCGAGCGUUAAUCGGAAUUACUGGGCGUAAAGCGUGCGCAGGCGGUUUGCUAAGACCGAUGUGAAAUCCCCGGGCUUAACCUGGGAACUGCAUUGGUGACUGGCAGGCUAGAGUAUGGCAGAGGGGGGUAGAAUUCCACGUGUAGCAGUGAAAUGCGUAGAGAUGUGGAGGAAUACCGAUGGCGAAGGCAGCCCCCUGGGCCAAUACUGACGCUCAUGCACGAAAGCGUGGGGAGCAAACA
rnacentral:rRNA from 2 species